rnacentral:rRNA from 1 species
UGGGGAAUUUUGCGCAAUGGACGAAAGUCUGACGCAGCAACGCCGCGUGGGUGAUGAAGGUCUUCGGAUCGUAAAACCCUGUCGUCAGGGACGAAGGUUGCAUGCUUAACAAGUGUGUAGCUUGACGGUACCUGGAGAGGAAGCCCCGGCUAACUCUGUGCCAGCAGCCGCGGUAAUACAGCGGGGGCAAGCGUUAUUCGGAAUUAUUGGGCGUAAAGGGCGCGUAGGCGGUGAUUUAAGUGAGAUGUGUAAUCCCCGGGCUUAACCUGGGAACUGCAUCUCAGACUGGAUCGCUAGAGUGCUGGAGAGGGUGGUAGAAUUCCACGUGUAGCGGUGAAAUGCGUAGAGAUGUGGAGGAAUACCAGUGGCGAAGGCGGCCACCUGGACAGUAACUGACGCUGAGGCGCGAAAGUGUGGGUAGCAAACA